UACGGGGGGGGCAAGCGUUGUUCGGAAUUACUGGGCGUAAAGGGCUCGUAGGCGGCCAUCUAAGUCGGACGUGAAAUCCCUCGGCUUAACCGGGGAACUGCGUCCGAUACUGGAGGGCUUGAGUGUGGGAGAGGGAUGCGGAAUUCCAGGUGUAGCGGUAGAAAUGCGUAGAUAUCUGGAGGAACACCGGUGGCGAAGGCGGCAUCCUGGACCGGCAUUGACGCUGAGGCGCGAAAGCUAGGGGAGCAAACGGGG
rnacentral:rRNA from 1 species